CGCCCGGGUUUGGCCGGUGUAGACCGUCAUUGUAAAUAAGAAUUUGUUCUUAACUGACUUGCCUAGUUAAAURAAGGAUAAAGAAAGAAAAAUKUAAAUCGUGUUGCCAGUGGGGUGAUUUUGUGUGGUGGUAUUAAGCAUUGUUUAGUAGAGAACAAGGAAAUGUACGCAGAGUGCGGAUGUUUCUGAAGAAUACACAGCCCUGUCAGCUUCCAUGCCAAAGACCACAAGGCCGUAGCAUAUGUGUAUGCACGUGAGUAUGUGCUUGAAUUUAUGCAUUCAUGUGAAAGUGUGUGAGUGUGUGUGUGUGUGUGCGUGCACUAACUUUCUCCUGAUGCUAUGCAGCUGCUCUAUCUAACAGAGCAACCAAGCACAGUAUUCAUCACCAAAGAUAACAUAAAGGACAACUGUCAUCGGCUCUGGGGAGGCAUCUGCUGGAACAGUGCCGCAGGUUGAACUCUGGCUGACUUUCAUGCAGGGAUGGGCCAAAGAGGUGUUAUUUUGUGGAAUGUCAUGGAUUCACUUCCAGSGAGAGAUGAGGAGAGAUGUUCCCAAUAUAUGGACGUGAAUGCAUCAUUAUUUGUUAAUCAUGAGCAUUACUCCAAUAAACUCCUCAUUCAUUGUGUUACAAAUCCUUUGAAGGAUAAACUACAAAGUUCAAUGCGAGGUCAACCCAAAGCUAUGAAGUCAAGUGUGAAAACAGUAUUAUUUACGUGAAAUGAUGCAAGAAACAAUACAUGUCAUGCUGCAUGUUAGUUCACUGUGUAUGUGUUUUGUCGGGGCAUGGACUCUACAAGGUGUCGAAAGCGUUCCACAGGGAUGCAACUCAUGGAAAGAGUAGGUGUCCUUAAUGUUUUGUACACUCAGUGCAUAUCUUUGCAUUUGCAAGUCUUAUUUUUAGAAGGAAAACAGAUGGGACUAUGUUGUKUCUGACUGUGUAUAUGGUUCAGAUAUUUAAGAGUAUGUUGUGUCAUGACACAGCAUGUGCAAUGCAGAUGUAGAGUUAAUACAGUGGUUUAAAGUUGACAUAAAUAAAACAUAAAAGGUUAUACCAAAAGUU